GUUUCUUUCUGUUUAUGUACGGUUAUGCUAAACACAUGUGGAGAACUUGUCGAACAAUCCUUUGCAAUCCACCCGAGCAGCGUGACAUCCGAGUGUAACAUUCACUGAUUGACAUCCCUGUGUGCAGUCAUAUCGCUUGAUCAGCGAGGGGGGAGGGGGCACAGAUUAGGUGACCACAGAUGAUGCGCGAGCUGUUCAAAGUCGGGACCCAGGGUGGACCACUCAUCAGUGCAUCAGUUGGGGACAUCUCUGCGCUGCUAGCUUGUUUCCACUCAAGAUGAUCACCUGCUGGCCCCACUAUGUACUGGUCCCUCACACUUUUAACUAGAUCCACUCGACGUCCAUUGCACCGGUCGCCCAGGGGAGAUCCCAAAUCUGUGGUCCCUUCCAAGGUUUCUCAUUGUAGCCCAUUGGGUGAAGUUUUCCCUUGCCCUGAUGUGGGAUCUGAGCCGAGGAUGUCGCUGUGGCUGGGGCAGCCCUUUGAGAAACUUGUGAUUUAGGGCUGUAUCAAUAAACUUUAAUUUAUUGAA